GACGAACGCUGGCGGCGUGCCUAACACAUGCAAGUCGAGCGGAGUUGAUCGACGGAAGCCUUCGGGCGGAAGAUGAUUAACUUAGCGGCGGAUGGGUGAGUAACGCGUGAGCAACCUGCCUAUCACAGGGGGAUAAGGCGGCGAAAGCCGCUCUAAUACCGCAUGAGACCCUCAAAGCGAUGCAAUGGGGGUGAAAGGAGCGAUCCGGUGAGAGAUGGGCUCGCGUCCGAUUAGGUAGUUGGUAGGGUAAGGGCCUACCAAGCCAAUGAUCGGUAGCCGGCCUGAGAGGGUGAACGGCCACAUUGGAACUGAGAGACGGUCCAAACUCCUACGGGAGGCAGCAGUGGGGAAUAUUGGGCAAUGGGCGGAAGCCUGACCCAGCAACGCCGCGUGAGGGAAGAAGGUUUUCGGAUUGUAAACCUCUGUUCUUGGGGAAGAGGAAGAGACGGUACCCAAGGAGGAAGCCCCGGCUAACUACGUG
rnacentral:rRNA from 1 species